rnacentral:rRNA from 1 species
UGAGGAAUAUUGCGCAAUGGAGGAAACUCUGACGCAGCCAUGCCGCGUGAGUGAAGAAGGCCCUAGGGUUGUAAAGCUCUUUCAGAUGCGAAGAUAAUGACGGUAACAUCAGAAGAAGCCCCGGCUAAAUUCGUGCCAGCAGCCGCGGUAAUACGAAUGGGGCAAGCGUUGUUCGGAAUCACUGGGCUUAAAGCGUAUGUAGGCGGAACUGAAAGUCAGGAGUGAAAUCCCAGGGCUCAACCCUGGAACUGCUCUUGAAACUUCAGUUCUGGAAUCCUGGAGAGGUUGGGAGAAUUCCUAGUGUAGAGGUGAAAUUCGCAGAUAUUAGGAGGAAUACCAGUGGCGUAGGCGCCCAACUGGACAGGUAUUGACGCUCAGAUACGAAAGCGUGGGGAGCAAACAGGAUUAGAUACCCCUGUAGUCC